AUCCAGCUGACGAGUCCCAAAUAGGACGGAAGUGCGCAUCCUGGAU
rnacentral:hammerhead_ribozyme from 1 species